CCUACGGGGGGCAGCAGUGGGGAAUAUUGCACAAUGGGGGAAACCCUGAUGCAGCGACGCCGCGUGAAGGAAGAAGUAUUUCGGUAUGUAAACUUCUAUCAGCAGGGAAGAAAAUGAUGGUACCUAACUAAGAAGCCCUGGCUAACUACGUGCCAGCAGCCGCGGUAAUACGUAGGGGGCAAGCGUUAUCCGGAUUUACUGGGUGUAAAGGGAGCGUAGGCGGUGCAGCAAGUCAGAAGUGAAAGCCCGGGGCUCAACUCCGGAACUGCUUAUGAAACUGGUGAACUAGAGUGCAGGAGAGGGAGGUAGAAUUCCUAGUGUAGCGGUGAAAUGCGUAGAGAUUAGGAGGAACACCAGUGGCGAAGGCGGCUUACUGGACUGUAAAUGACGCUGAGGCUCGAAAGCGUGGGGAGCAAACAGGAUUAGAUACCCCUGUAGUC
rnacentral:rRNA from 1 species